GUAUAAGCGCACCUUUGUGAUGUGUGUAUGUGUACUGAGUGAGUAUUGAGGUCACGUUGUCCUUGUUGCAAUAAAGGGUCCUCAUUGGCCACGAGAUUCUACUUCUACUGACAUCGGGACCCGUGUAUGGGUGGCGGCGCUCCUUCCUUAUCGACGUCAUCCUUAUCGACUUCCCUCAUUGGUGGCUUGUCCGCAACGCUUGACUCCCGAAAUGGAAAAAUGCCACCACAACAGAAGAAGAGUUUCGGUCAGCCAGCCACCAUGCAACGCCUCACAAAUAAGGAUGAAUCGUCGACCUAGAAAUCUUUACUACCCGCACUGUAUCUUUCAUUCGUGGCGCUGGACUCCCGAAAUCAAAACAAAGAAACCACCGUAGAGGAAGCGUUUGAGCCAGCCACCCGCCACCAGCGUCUCA